AAAAAAAAUCGAAUAUAGCAAACAAGUAAGGUGCAAAGGAACUGGGAUGUUUUUUUUUGCCGACAUCUUCUCUUUCUUUGCUCUCAGUGCAGCUGUUGCUGAGCUUAUAAAAGCCCAUCUGUAGUGGCAGAACCAGAGCAGAGUGUGGGAGCAGUUAGAGAGAGAGAGAGAGAGCGAGAGGAAAAAGAGAGGCGAGAAAGAUUUGCCCAUACUGACAGGUCCAGCACUCACCAUCUGCUAACACUGAGAAAGCUGUCUCGUGCUUCAGCUUCGGCUUCAGCUUCCGGCUCCUCCAGCACCAACAUCGUCCCUGAGAACAACCUGCUCACCUGCUGCCCCGACAUCAGGCCAGCACAGCAACCUGCUCGACCACCUCAGAAACCUCCUCGCAUUACACCCGCUGAAGACUCCAGAGAAACCUGUUAUCUUUUAACUCAGUGUAGUUGUGAGAGAGACUAUCGGUCUGUUGGAUCAGCUCAGUGCUGAUCAGUGCUCAGCUUUCCUCUCUACUAAGAGUGAGUUAGCUGCAGGAUGACCACAGAGAAAAGCCUGUGCAUCAUAAAAGUGCUUUCAUUGAUCGUCUGCUUGGACAUCAGUCUUACGUGGAACUGCAGAGGCGCGCAGGCUGCCAUUUACCGUCACACAGGCUUGUGCAGGUAUAACAACGAGCUGUUUGAAGCAGGACAGACCUUUUUCAGAGGAUGUGAUAAGUGCUACUGCUACAGCGACGGCUACGUCUGCUUUCCGCCCACAACUCCAACCUCCUGGCCAAAGAAGUGCCAACGUGUGCUUACAGCGUGUGGCUUCAGGGUGGUAUACCGGGAUAACCCAGCAGUGGAGUGCCGUGCCUACAGCAGGAUCUGGUGAUUCCUUCCCUCAUACAGCGUGAAAAAGAAACAGCGAUGAGUUUCUGGAAAUUAUUUUCUUCUACAGUAACUUUAAAGAUGCUACACAUAAGAUUUUACCAUUUUAAAACUCCAGUCCAUAUUUCUCAAAAUAAGAGUAAUGUGAACAGCCUUUAAACUGAUCAGUGGACUGGCAGGAAACUGUGGAUAAUGAUUCCAUUGGACAAAAUGUCAAUCUUAAAAGGGAAUUUGAAACUCGUUUCAUUUUGCUGAUGACUAAAAUCAAGCACUGCAAAGUUAUAUAUAGUCAUACUUUAAACAAAACAAUCAGGAAACUUAAUUCUGCGGUUUCAUGGGUUGUAAAGUAUGUAAUUGUAAACUUUACCAAAGUCCUAUUUUACCUAACAAUACCAUGCAUGCACCCCUCCAAUAUUAAUGUAAUAUAAAAUUUAUUAAACUAUUAUAAACCACUAUGAAUAACCUCUAUAAAUGUUUAUGGUUUUACAAUUUUAAGCUUACGUGUAGCCUCUUUAACACCAGUGCAUUCAGUUUUCUUUAAACACCAGCACAUGACUGUCCCGUUAUUUUAUCCUCUGUGUACGUUUCAUUAAAACUAUGGCCAUUUUCAAAAUACAUUGUCAUGAGUAUUUUAUUAUCAAAAUGCAUUACAUCUUUCCGCUUUCUGUCUUUUAGAAGAGGAGGAGGGGUCCAAACUGCUUUGUGUAAAAAAUAAAAUACAACAAAACAGAGAUAAUAUUUUAAAC
ensembl:lncRNA